rnacentral:rRNA from 1 species
UGGGCUGGGCGAAGUCUGACCGCCUUCCGCGUGAUGAAGAAGGCCUUUGGUUUUAAAACUGUUUUUAAAGGGAAAAAAACAAGCCUUGCAAUAGGCUGUGUUAGUGAUGGUUCAUUGAUCACAAGCACCGGCUAACUAAGUGCCCGCGGUCAUGGUGAUGGUGCAGGCGCAAUCGUUAUUUAUAGUUACUAGGGGUUGAGCGUGUGGUUUAUUUUUUGUAAGUCGAAUGUGAAAUCCCCAACCUCUGCUUGGCAACUGCGUCUGAAACUCUUGACUAAAAUAUGGUGGAGGGGGGGUAGAAUUCCACGUGUAGAAGUGGGGGGGGGUAAAGAUGAACACGAAUUGCAAUGGCGACUGACUUCCCCUGGGAUAAUACUGACGCUCAUGCGUGAGGG